UGCAAAAUGGUGGGUAAAAUUGUUUUUUUUUUAAAUAGUAAUUUGGAUGUAUAUAUAAACAAUACUGAUACAUACUCGCACAUGUACCCUUUAUAUGUGUAUAUUUCGAUCGAUAUCAUUAUUAGAAGCUCAACUUCAUUAUCCAUGGAAAUUUUCAUAAGAAAAGAUAUAACUAAAAUUUAAUCAAGAAAUAGAUUAAUA
rnacentral:lncRNA from 1 species